UACGGGGGGAGCAAGCGUUGUUCGGAUUUACUGGGCGUAAAGAGCGUGUAGGCGGCCAGAUAGGUCUGCUGUGAAAACUCGAGGCUCAACCUCGAGAUGUCGGCGGAAACCAUUUGGCUAGAGUCCGGAAGAGGAAAGUGGAAUUCCUGGUGUAGCGGUGAAAUGCGCAGAUAUCAGGAAGAACACCCGUGGCGAAGGCGGCUUUCUGGGACGGUACUGACGCUGAGACGCGAAAGCGUGGGGAGCGAACAGG
rnacentral:rRNA from 1 species